GGGUAUAGCUCAGUGGCAGAGCAUCUGCUUAGCAUGCGAGAAGUACUGAGUUCAAUCCCCAGUAUAUCCA
rnacentral:tRNA from 1 species